GAAUGGUUGGCUGGGGAGGCUUGGGGGAAGUGCUGGUGGCUGUUGUGGCUGCAGGGAGCAGCCCGGCUGGUGCCUGUGGCCUGCACGAGGUGCUGCAUGUCCCAGGCUGAUCGACUGUGGCAGCAGGACGGGGGACGCGGGACAGGCAUGCGGCCUGUUGCAGGCCCGUGCAGUGCGUGGCAGAGCAGCGCAGGCCGUGUUAUCAGGCCGUGCUCCCGGCUGCAUGCCCGAGGGAAUCCCAGACUGGCACCAGGGCAGGAGAGCAGCACGUUGGAGCGUUUCCCCUGGAGCAUCCCAAAAGGAGACAUCUCAGAGAUCAUCAUCAGAUAAAUCCCAGGCUCAGCCUGCGAUGUCCGGCCCUAAUCCCGGCACUGCAGCAGGACGGGACGGAGGUCAGCCCUGCGUGCUCCAGGAAGCCCUUGCCAGGCCACCGGGACAGCCUGGAGAUGGGUCUCACCGGCAGUUGCUCACGGAGCAAUGGACUUGAUCCGCCUGGAGAUCUUCCAGGGAUGUUUGUGGAGCCUUUUCUCCCCGUGCUCCGACAGCACUCCCAGGCCAGUAGCCAAGCACAAGCUGUAAAUAACAAGUGGCGGCUGCUGACCCACUCUCAUGUUGCUGUGACACGCCGUCAGCUCCAGGCUUUCCCUGGAUUCUUCUCUCCAGUGCUUUGUGUUCCCAUCCUCUGCUCCCCAAGCUGUUGUGGCACCUGUCUCCUCACACCCCCCUCGACACAGCCUCGACAUAGCCCAUGAAAAGGGUGGAAGCCAGGGGCCAGGGCUCUGAGGACAGGGGAUGUUUGUCUCCUCUCUCUGGGGUUCCUCUGUUCACAGNNNNCUUGGGAAGGGCUGGAAGGUCAGAGGAGAAAUCUCUGGGACUUGCAGCAGGCUCUGUCCCAGCGCCUCAAUGUGGGCAAUUCAGAAGGCAGGUCCUGUGGCCUCACCUGGGUCUUUCUUCACCAAAGCACCCACAAUUACCCAGGAGUGUUCACCUGACAGGAAUCCAAACUUCAGCCUGUCACCGAACUUUCCCACCUCUGCAGAUAUCCACACUGGGGUUGCUGUCCAUCACACUGCCUUUUUCUUCCUCACCAUUUGGGAAAUCGUAGGAACCUUUCCUUUUCUUGCCCUGUGAGAUGCUGCUCUAACGCUUGAGCAAUGCAGUCGGGCCCAGGCCUCUUUGCGAAACCCCAGUCUACGUGAAUAUCACAUGAGCAGUAGUAUUUACCCAGGAUCAAAAUAAUACUGUGCAAAGACUGAAAUAUUAGCGCAUGCACGUGUCUUCCUGCUCCAAACUCGUGAGCUUAGUUGGCCUCCUCUCACCAGAAAUGCUCUGGGCUGGGAGCAUGUGGCUGGGUGCAGCACAGGUGGGUGUUCCAACAAAAACAGCGAGAGAUGUGGGUCAGAGCCACAUCUCAGCACUGUAACCCUUGUCCUUCCCUCUUCCACCACCUCGUGUUGCUCAUUCCUCGCAUUUUUGUUGCAAAACUGGUAGCUUGGGUGAGGGACCGAGCUGGAGUUUUCUGUUUGCUUUGCAAACCAUCUAGCAGGUUUUGUCGUGGGGCUAUAUGCAGAAAUAGCUCACCAUCUCCUUGCAGUGUGGUCCUGGCCCUCUUCCAGCCUGUGUUUGCUUUGCUGGGAGGUGCCGCUGCCAGUGUGGUUGUCACUGUCCCUGUCACCCUCGCAGGCCCCUGGUAGCAUCCCGCAGCUGUUGGGGCUGUCCUCAGAACAGGCGGAGAGGUUUAACUGCACCCCUGGGGCACGCAACGCUCCUUCCCGGCUCUGUUGCUGCUGAAUUAAACUCGCAGCCCUGCCCUGUGCCGGGGCCGGCUGCCCAGGUUUCCCUCAGGGUGUUUAUCUAUUUCUAUUAUUUUUUAGUCUAUUUUAAAGACCUCAGCUACAACUUCUAAAAAUGAGGAGAAGGACUCCAGAUCAGCUCUCCUUCUUGUGCCUUGUGUUGUGUUGUGUUUGGGGCCAAAUCCUGCUGCAGGACUGGACCCCUCGUGCAUGCUGGCUUGGAAAAUAGUCGGAUUGUCCUUUAAUGCGACUUAAACCUCCUAUAGCAUUUCUUCUCUGCAAAUUAGCCUGACAAGUUCGUCGUAAAAUAAUGCUGUAACAAAGUGGUUAAAAACUGCAAGUACAGAGUGAGAACAAGCCGUGGAAGGGCCGUGGACUAUCUCAGCUUGUCAAAAUAAACACGUCGCUUCAGCACA
ensembl:lncRNA